rnacentral:tRNA from 1 species
GCAGCGAUGGCGAAAUUGGUAGACGCGCUAUCUUCAGACGGUAGUGUUAUUAACAUGUGAGUUCGAGUCUCAUUCGCUGCA